UCUACCUGUUCUUCGACUCACCUUCAAACAAAAAACCCAAAAUUCACCAUUUUCAGAUGUGUUCCAGUGGAGGCCAGCCUGCAACCACAACUAUUCAACUCAGGACAAUCCCAACAACAACAUUCGAGCUUUGCAUGCUCGAACCUACCCAUCAAUCGAAGAGUUCCAUAAGCCCAGCUUGCGUAGGCAUUGAAGUUGGGUGGAUGAAAUCCCUUUUCCUCCUCAGAUCAAAACACCAAGCCUCUAUCUCUUCUAGGUCAAGGAAUUACCGACUUUUUCUUCAAAUAGUUCACAACACAUGGGGUUUACUUGGACCCUGAAAUUGUGUCACAUCUUCAAGAAUGGAAGACCUAAUAGGCAAAUGAACCUGCAGAAGAUGAUGACUUCUUUGAUGCUCUUAUUUCUGCCCCCUGUUGAGAAAUUCAUUAGGGUUGUGGUGAUCAAGGAGAUCAAAGGGUCAUAAUAUGGAGUGCAGAUUGAGAGUGCUGUGAAGGAUAUAUUGGCAGCUGCUGACAAAUAUGAGGAAGAGGAGGAGGAGUCCUUGGAAAAAGUUGUUGAGUUCUUUCAAUCAAAGUGCUUCAAGAAGGAUUUCAUCUAUCACAUUCCAUUUUCCUGCCAUUUUUGCCGCUGCCGAGGUAAAGAAUCAUCUUAAUCAAAGGGUAGAAAGUAAAAAGUAACAAUAUUGUUGAACAACGUAAAGUCCACAUAGAAAACUUGACAAAAUAAUGUAUGAUAUAUAAGUGUGCGAUGGGUGGUUCCACCACUGAGACAUUUUGUGAUGAAAUCUCACAUGUGUUAUGCUAAUAGGUUGUUAAACUUAACUGCACAUUGAAAGAGAUAUCAGUGUUGAUUAGUAAUUAGUUGCUGACCUAACUCUGAUAUCUUUUACAAACAUUGUUACUAGCUAUUGUGUAAUUUGUAAGUAAACUUUUGUGUUUAUGCAGAUUGUGUUUACACAUAUGUUCAAAAUCAUUUACAACUCCAUUUACACAUAUAUGUACAACCAUCAUUAAAAUUCUAUAUCAUAUGUAUACUAAUCAGCAUUCCCAAGACCCAUCAAUAGGGAAAGCAUUGGGGUCAUAUAUAGGGCAAAUUGUGACAAUUUG